rnacentral:tRNA from 1 species
CCCCCGGUAGCUCAACCGGACCGAGCGGCGCCCUUCUAAGGCGACGGUUGCGGGUUCGAGUCCCGCCCGGGGGA